AUUACAGCCUUCAAGCGCCGUGUGUUUGGUUAAAUAUUAGUUUUAUGCUUCGAUAAAUCCGUUUAUGGCCACAUUUGAACUUUGUUUUGGUAGCCUAGAGGCCUAUUCACUCGUGGGAAUGUUUGUUUGGGUAUUUUUUAUUUCGUUUUGAGGCGACAGUCGGACACAUCAGUUUAGCUUUAUCCAUUAACCCUCCACACAUCCUGCAAAUCAGUCGACAUCCGAAACACCCUGAACAUCACACAAACGUGAGGAAGAGUAACAGUGCCACCUAGUUUAGGAGAGGGAUCCUCUUCACUGUCCAAGCUCUGAGGCAACAACCACCCUUAAUGAUCAUGGGGGGCUGAAACUCAGCUGACACUGGGUGAGAGGCAGUGUACACCAUGGACAGUCAGGCU